CUAAUUUAUGGACGGUCUAUUGGCUAAUAUUAAGUAUAGUAUUUAUUCUUAUUAGUUUAAUAUCUGAUAUAAAGAAUUAAAUUAAUUUUUUAUAAAAGAGAGUAUGUUACUCGCAAGUGUUUAUGUAUUAUAUUGUACACGCAAGCAGGGGUGGAGCCACGCAGUUGGCCCACCUCAAUUUUUUGUAAUCCUU